rnacentral:rRNA from 1 species
GGGCCCGCACAAGCAGUGGAUUAUGUGGUUUAAUUCGAAGCAACGCGAAGAACCUUACCAGGACUUGACAUCCCUUGACCGGCAUAGAGAUAUGCCUUCCCUUCGGGGCAAGGAGACAGGUGGUGCAUGGUUGUCGUCAGCUCGUGUCGUGAGAUGUUGGGUUAAGUCCCGCAACGAGCGCAACCCCUAUUGCCAGUUGCCAUCAUUUAGUUGGGAACUCUGGCGAUACUGCCGUGGACAACACGGAGGAAGGUGGGGACGACGUCAAAUCAUCAUGCCCCUUAUGUCCUGGGCUACACACGUAAUACAAUGGCAACGACAGAGGGCAGCUACUCCGCGAGGACAAGCGAAUCCCUAAACGUUGUCUCAGUUCGGAUUGCAGGCUGCAACUCGCCUGCAUGAAGUCGGAAUUGCUAGUAAUGGCAGGUCAGCAUACUGCCGUGAAUACGUUCCCGGGCCUU